rnacentral:rRNA from 1 species
AUUGAACGCUGGCGGCAGGCUUAACACAUGCAAGUCGAGCGGGGGAAGGUAGCUUGCUACCGGACCUAGCGGCGGACGGGUGAGUAAUGCUUAGGAAUCUGCCUAUUAGUGGGGGACAACAUCUCGAAAGGGGUGCUAAUACCGCAUACGUCCUACGGGAGAAAGCAGGGGAUCUUCGGACCUUGCGCUAAUAGAUGAGCCUAAGUCGGAUUAGCUAGUUGGUGGGGUAAAGGCCUACCAAGGCGACGAUCUGUAGCGGGUCUGAGAGGAUGAUCCGCCGCACUGGGACUGGGACACGGCCCAGACUCCUACGGGAGGCAGCAGUGGGGAAUAUUGGACAAUGGGGGGAACCCUGAUCCAGCCAUGCCGCGUGUGUGAAGAAGGCCUUAUGGUUGUAAAGCACUUUAAGCGAGGAGGAGGCUACUCUAGUUAAUACCUAGGGAUAGUGGACGUUACUCGCAGAAUAAGCACCGGCUAACUCUGUGCCAGCCGCCGCGGUAA